UGCACAGGUGGGGACAGGAGACGUUGGACUUGUGGCAGCUGGAUUUUGACCGUGAAGAGGACACAUACUCCAUGUGGACGAUGCAGCAGGAGGAUGUGAGAAGCACGUCCUUGAUCCCCAGCUGCUGGUGGCUGGGAUGCUGGGGUCCUGGUGUUGGCUGCAAGCAUUGUGACACCUGGACAGGGAGGGCUGUCAUCUUCCCCUCUGACAGGUAAGAACUGCCAUCCCAGGGGAGUCCUGGCUUUGCUUCUCUCAGGAGUCAGGGGCUACACUGACCUGUACUGGUUUUCUGUGAAAUGUUUUCCUUUUAUAGGCAUCUCUUUUAGGAAAUGGAAUAGCCGGCUGAUUUAUUUCUGUAAUUUUUUGAUUCAUUUUUAAAUUCAGGAGAUGAGUUCUUUGUCCCAAAAGCUGCAAAUAAUUUUCAGAAUUUGUCACUUCUCUUUCCCCCUUUUCUCUGGUCUAUGCAGAUACGUUGGAUUUUUAUGUAGUUUUUGAAAUGUUUUUGGGGGGGGAUUUCUGAGUUUUGCAUCUUUCCCACUAAAGUUUGUAAAGCCCAUCUUCCACAUGUCAGUGCUUUCGUGUGCUGUUGGUGGAAGCAGAGAGUCAUGCAGACUGAGAGUAAAGGCUAAACAUAAACGGUUUCUCCUUCUCAGUCCUUUCAGGGAAAAACAUUCUCAAAAUAGAAGUGGUCACAGUGCAAAGAUGAAAUCGAAGUUUCUAUCAGUACAACAUAGGUUCAGGGAAGAACACAAGGUCGUGGCUGUAAGGGCGUCUGUGGCGACCUUGGAAAGGGAAAGGGAGGGCGGAGCGACCUUUUCUUCUAGAAAUAAGGCCUCUGUCACACUCAGUGAUUUCUCAGCAGCCUCCUUUUCAAGUCAGGAGUGAAGGGCCUGUCAUUGGUAUUAAUAAGGACAUAUUAUUUCUUGCCAGAAUUUUAUUACAAUGUGUACAGGUUUAUUAUAACUAGUAGAGUCAAUCGAGAGAGAGAGAGAGAGAGAGAGAGAGACAGAUAGAGAUGAGACCACUCCAUCAUUAGACAUUGGAAUAAUGUACCUUUUGGGGUUCAAAAAGGGACCCUUUCUUUCACUGGUCAUUCAGCGUGAACACCUAUACUGACUAGCUUCUGUG